AACGAACGCUGGCGGCAGGCUUAACACAUGCAAGUCGAACGCGUGUAGCAAUACACGAGUGGCGCACGGGUGAGUAACGCGUGGAUAUCUGCCUUUUGGUUCGGAAUAACCCCGGGAAACUGGGGCUAAUACCGGAUGGUUCCUUCGGGAUAAAGAUUUAUCGCCAAAAGAUGAGUUCGCGUACGAUUAGCUAGUUGGUGAGGUAAUGGCUCACCAAGGCGACGAUCGUUAGCUGGUCUGAGAGGACGAUCAGCCACACUGGGACUGAGACACGGCCCAGACUCCUACGGGAGGCAGCAGUGGGGAAUAUUGGACAAUGGGGCAACCCUGAUCCAGCCAUGCCGCGUGAGUGAUGAAGGCCUUCGGGUUGUAAAGCUCUUUUGGCGGGGACGAUGAUGACGGUACCCGCAGAAUAAGCCCCGGCUAACUUCGUGCCAGCCGCCGCAGUAAAAC
rnacentral:rRNA from 1 species